ensembl:rRNA 5S_rRNA 5S ribosomal RNA
GAAUGUAGUCAUCUAGGCAGUACCACCCUGAACCUGCCUGAUCUCAAAGCUAAGUGAGUCAGGCCAGGUUAGUACUUGGAUGAGAGGCCACCUGGAAAUACCAGGUGCUGGAGGCU